rnacentral:rRNA from 1 species
UACGUAGGGUGCAAGCGUUGUCUGGAAUUAUUGGGCGUAAAGAGCUCGUAGGCGGUUUGUCGCGUCUGCUGUGAAAACUCGGGGCUUAACUCCGGGCCUGCAGUGGGUACGGGCAGACUAGAGUGCGGUAGGGGAGACUGGAAUUCCUGGUGUAGCGGUGAAAUGCGCAGAUAUCAGGAGGAACACCGGUGGCGAAGGCGGGACUCUGGGCCGAUACUGACGCUGAGGAGCGAAAGCGUGGGGAGCAAACAGG